ensembl:snRNA U1 U1 spliceosomal RNA
AUACUUCCCUGGCAGGGGAGGUACCAUGAUCAUGAAGGUGGUUUCCCAGGGCAAAGCUUAUCCAUUGUACUCUGGAUGUGCUGACCCCUGCAAUUUCCCCAAAUGCAGUAAACUUGAUUUCAUAAUUUGUGGUAGUGGGGGACUGUAUUUGCACUCUGCCCUG